ACAGUCAUCAAACCAGUUUCAGAUUUUGACACCACAGUAGCAGCAGCAGCUCCUGGCACAGGCUCAGGCGCAGGGAAGUCUUGGGAGCUCACCUAGUUAUGGAGAUUUGGAUCCUCGAAGAUUUAGGCUUUUACCUAGGGGUAGCUUGAAUGGGAAAGAUGGUCAGCCCACAGGAAAUGAUGGUUCUGUAGGCUCCCCAAUUCAAUCAAGUUCACCAAAGGUCAGAUUAGGUCCACAGGAUCAAGCAGAAUUUCUCGUGAAGGGUGUUGGCGGAUGGGCAUAUCCCAUGGGUGUGUGAGUCAUUCUCAAGGCUACUUGGACGGGACCUUGUCCGAGCGCCAGCUCUGAUUUGGCAAAGGUCUCUGCUUCCUGCUUUUAAAUCUGCAGAAAUGCGCACCUUAGCAGAGAGUUUUAAGUAGGAAUAUCAUUCGUGGGAAUCUAGAUGUGAAGUGGGAAAGCAUCAAGGGGUUAGAGAAUGCAAAGCGCCUUCUCAAGGAAGCAGUUGUGACGCCAAUAAAGUAUCCCAAUGCUGCACAUUGCGUAAUUGCAUGAAAGAAACUGAAGCUGAAAAGUCUCAUUGUUAGAUGGAUAUUAGAGUAUUGAGCUUGAUUAGAAGUUGUUAGAUGGAGAUUAGAGUUUUGAGCUUGAUCAGACUAAGUUGGGAGAUUGAUUCUGUUCAUCAGCUUAUCCCAUUUCGGCUGCAUUAGGAGUUUUGGCCAUGUUUGGUUGCAGCACUGAUAAUUGGUGGAAAGUCCAAAGGGAUUAAAAUAUUGCAAUUUUGUUAAACUUCUCUCUUAUUUCUUUUUUUAAAGCAUAUAUCCAAUCCAAAUAUUUGGAAUUUGGAUGAUAUAUUUGAUUUUGAUUUCUUCCUUUUCUAUUGUGUAGACUUACCUUUUCAAAUAAGUUGGUUCGUUCAGAGCUUUGGAGAAAUGGGUAUAUCUAGUUUUGGAUGUGUGCGUUGAUUAAUACACAUCCACAACUAGAUAUACCAAUUUCUCCAAAGCCUUAAUGAACCAACUUAGUUGAGAAGGAAAAGUCUACACAAUAGAAAAGGGAGAAAUCAAAAUCAAAUAUA